GACGAACGCUGGCGGCGUGCUUAACACAUGCAAGUCGAACGGAAAGGCCCUGCUCUUGUUGCUCGCUCGAGUGGCGAACGGGUGAGUAACACGUGAGUAACCUGCCCUUGACUUUGGGAUAACUCCAGGAAACAGGGGCUAAUACCGGAUAGGAUCUCCUGCAGCAUGUUGGGGGUUGGAAAGUUUCGGGGGUUGGGGAUGGGCUCGCGGGGUAUCAGCUUGUUUGUGGGGUAGUGCAUUACCAAGGCUUUCACGGGUAGCCCGCCUAAGGGGGUGAGCGGCGACAUUGAGACUGAGGUACGGCAGAAACUGCUAAGGUAGGGAGAAGUGCGGAAUAUUGCAGGAUGGACGGAAGCCUGGUGCAGCAACGCCGCGUACCGGAUAACGCUCUUAGGAUUGUAGACCGAAUUCGCCUGUGACGAAGCGUGAGUGACGGUAAUGGGUAAAGAAGCACCGGCUAAAUACGUU
rnacentral:rRNA from 1 species